rnacentral:rRNA from 1 species
CCUACGGGAGGCAGCAGUGGGGAAUAUUGCACAAUGGGCGCAAGCCUGAUGCAGCAACGCCGCGUGAGGGACGACGGCCUUCGGGUUGUAAACCUCUUUUAGUAGGGAAGAAGCGAAAGUGACGGUACCUGCAGAAAAAGCACCGGCUAACUACGUGCCAGCAGCCGCGGUAAUACGUAGGGUGCAAGCGUUGUCCGGAAUUAUUGGGCGUAAAGAGCUCGUAGGCGGUUUGUCGCGUCUGCUGUGAAAACCCGAGGCUCAACCUCGGGCCUGCAGUGGGUACGGGCAGACUAGAGUGCGGUAGGGGAGAUUGGAAUUCCUGGUGUAGCGGUGGAAUGCGCAGAUAUCAGGAGGAACACCGAUGGCGAAGGCAGAUCUCUGGGCCGUAACUGACGCUGAGGAGCGAAAGCAUGGGGAGCGAACAGGAUUAGAUACCCUGGUAGUCCAUGCCGUAAACGUUGGGAACUAGAUGUAGGGACCAUUCCACGGUUUCUGUGUCGCAGCUACGACAUUAACGUUACCCGUCCGUCGGGACGGUACGGCCGCGACGACGUAAACGUAACGAAAGGUAAAGUUAGUACGGUUCGUUGUAGAGUUGACGAACGACGACGACGAGGGAGGAGG